GAAAUGAUGAUAAUGAUGAACGGUUUUUCCAUUACAGUGUGAUUGCGUCACUCGAGCACCUUUGUCCAAAUUCAAAUUAUACGGUAACCUUCACUUCAAGAAAAUAAAGGUGGUGCCUCCACGGUACGUGACGACUACCACGGAAGAGACAUCGACACUGUGCCCCCCCUGCGAGGUCUGCCCAGUUUGUAAUACAUAGAUAAAGCUUUAAAUAAUUAAACAAAAUGAAAAAUUUG